GGAGAACUGAGAGAAGAUCCCACAGAUCCAACUCCAACACCAACCAUGUUCUCUACAGCUCUACUGAUCCUGUGGGUUUCUGUAUCCUAUGUUCACAGUUAUGAACUGACUCAGCCUGGUUCUAUGAUGGUUCGUCCAGGUCAGAGUCUGACCAUCAACUGUAAAGUUUCAUAUUCAGUUACAAGCUAUGAAACAAAUUGGAUCAGACAACCU